rnacentral:rRNA from 1 species
UACGUAGGGGGCAAUCGUUGUCCGGAAUUAUUGGGCGUAAAGCGCGCGCAGGCGGUCUCUUAAGUCUGAUGUGAAAGCCCACGGCUCAACCGUGGAGGGUCAUUGGAAACUGGGAGACUUGAGUGUAGGAGAGGAAAGUGGAAUUCCACGUGUAGCGGUGAAAUGCGUAGAGAUGUGGAGGAACACCAGUGGCGAAGGCGACUUUCUGGCCUAUAACUGACGCUGAGGCGCGAAAGCGUGGGGAGCAAACAGG